rnacentral:snoRNA from 1 species
UUCGUGCGGCGGCACGGCUCUGCGAUUCCCCAAUGUUGCUCACCUCUGCGCCAUUAUUCUACGCGGUAGUUCGAGUGUCAAGCCGUGCUCUGAACGAUUGGACGUCUUAGCACCCAAUUGUCGCCUUGCAUUGCGCACAGCGGCAGGGUCGGUGGUUCAUACAUCU